rnacentral:rRNA from 1 species
GAUGAACGCUGGCGGCGUGCCUAAUACAUGCAAGUCGAACGGAGAACAUCGUAGCAAUACUUUGUUCUUAGUGGCGAACGGGUGAGUAACGCGUUGGUGACCUGCCCCGAAGAGGGGGAUAACAGUCCGAAAGGACUGCUAAUACCCUAUGUGGUCUCAGGGAUUAGAUGCCCUGAGUCUAAAGGAGUAAUCCACUUUGGGAGGGACCUGCGUCCCAUCAGCUAGUUGGUAAGGUAACGGCCUACCAAGGCUUCGACGGUAGGGGGCCUGAGAGGGUGGCCCCCCACAUUGGCACUGACACACGGGCCAAACACCUACGGGUGGCAG